rnacentral:rRNA from 1 species
UACGUAGGUGGCAAGCGUUGUCCGGAUUUACUGGGCGUAAAGAGCGCGCAGGCGGUCGUUCAAGUCGCGUGUGAAAGCCCCCGGCUCAACUGGGGAGGGUCACGCGAUACUGAUCGACUCGAAGGCAGGAGAGGGAAGUGGAAUUCCCGGUGUAGUGGUGAAAUGCGUAGAUAUCGGGAGGAACACCGGUGGCGAAGGCGGCGACCUGGGUAGAUACUGACGCUGAGGCGCGAAAGCGUGGGGAGCAAACAGG